rnacentral:rRNA from 1 species
GACGAACGCUGGCGGCGUGCUUAACACAUGCAAGUCGAACGGAAAGGCCCUGCUUUUGUGGGGUGCUCGAGUGGCGAACGGGUGAGUAACACGUGAGUAACCUGCCCUUGACUUUGGGAUGACUUCAGGAAACUGGGGCUAAUACCGGAUAGGAGCUCCUGCUGCAUGGUGGGGGUUGGAAAGUUUCGGCGGUUGGGGAUGGACUCGCGGCUUAUCAGCUUGUUGGUGGGGUAGUGGCUUACCAAGGCUUUGACGGGUAGCCGGCCUGAGAGGGUGACCGGCCACAUUGGGACUGAGAUACGGCCCAGACUCCUACGGGAGGCAGCAGUGGGGAAUAUUGCACAAUGGGCGGAAGCCUGAUGCAGCAACGCCGCGUGCGGGAUGACGGCCUUCGGGUUGUAAACCGCUUUCGCCUGUGACGAAGCGUGAGUGACAGUAAUGGGUAAAGAAGCACCGGCUAACUACGUG